UCCGAGUUGACCCCGGCAGUCUCUUAUGAGUCCCCACCAUGACGUGCUGGCAACAUAAGACGAGGGUUGCGCUCGUUGCGGGACUUAACCCAACAUCCCACGACACGAGCUGACGACAGCCAUGCACCACCUGUAUACCGACUAAAAGGGGCUGUAUCUCUACAGCUUUCCGGCAUAUGUCAAGCCCAGGUAAGGUUCUUCGCGUCGCAUCGAAUUAAGCAACACGCUCCGCUGCUUGUGCGGGCCCCCGUCAAUUCCUUUGAGUUUUAGCCUUGCGGCCGUACUCCCCAGGCGGGGCACUUAAUGCGUUAGCGACGGCGCGGAUCUCGUUGGUUGAGACCCACACCUAGUGCCCAACGUUUACGGCGUGGACUAC
rnacentral:misc_RNA from 1 species